rnacentral:misc_RNA from 1 species
AUGAUUAUUGAAUACAUUUUUUUACAUAUAAAUUCAAUUAAAAGUGUUUGUCCUACCAAAAUUCAAACUAGAUCAUAACCUGUAAGGGUUUAGUCAAGUGAAGGAAUUUCUGCCUUGAAUGUGUGUUGAAGGUGCACAAUUGGGUUCAAAGUUAAAACCAUAAGCUCAGUGAACUGGACUUGAAUGAAGUUUGGUUUUUGUGGUGACCUAGGCACAAAUUAUUUGUCUGCCUUGCUUGAAGUCUUCCUA